UCAUUGAUAUCUAGUAGAACCAUAACCCCUUUUGGGAGUCUCAAAACAGAGCAAGUCUCUAAGGGCCUGCGGAGGACAAAUCAGCCAGUCGUCAGUGAGUGUUUUGUUCCGUUCACGUGCUUCAGCAAUAAUUGCCCUCUGUUCCCACGGCAAAGCUUGUGUAGUCUUCAAUGCGUUGACCAGAUUUAGACAAUCUGACUGGACAGUCAGUCUUUCAUCCGCGCGUGAGGAGAGAAAUAUGAGGGUUUCCACCAUUGCUAGGCAUUCGGCUUGCUCGGCUGAGGAGGUAGGGACGUCCUUUGCAAAUCCGUCGACCAGAGUUCCAUCUGCGUCGCGGCAGACACAGGCGAUUGAACCUUCGAGUGAUCCAGCUCCGGGUCUGGGAGGUGUCUUUUGAAGACAAAGCUGUUUCUAGCUUUCUAGAUUUCCCAGAGGACUACCGAGAUUAAUUCUACACCAGGUGAGCUGUUGCUUCUGUGGAUAUGGUGUCUCAGCCAUUCAUCUAUUCUUGUUAUUUGGAAUUUAGAGUUCUGGAUGUUCAGUACCGGUGCCUUCCAGACUUCUCGCGCCCAUUUACAGAGCAGAAGUAGGUGUUCCGGGGUCUCCACAUGCACUCGGCAGAUUGGGCAUAGAGGGUCAGGUACCAUUUUCCUUUUGUAUAGAUUCUCCUUAGUCGGGAGAGCAUUUUGACAAGCAGACCAGAUGAAGUGUCUGAUUU